GAGUUUGAUCCUGGCUCAGAUUGAACGCUGGCGGCAUGCCUUACACAUGCAAGUCGAACGGUAACAGGUCUUCGGAUGCUGACGAGUGGCGAACGGGUGAGUAAUACAUCGGAACGUGCCCGAUCGUGGGGGGAUAACGGAGCGAAAGCUUUGCUAAUACCGCAUACGAUCUACGGAUGAAAGCAGGGACCGCAAGGCCUUGCGCGGACGGAGCGGCCGAUGGCAGAUUAGGUAGUUGGUGGGAUAAAAGCUUACCAAGCCGACGAUCUGUAGCUGGUCUGAGAGGACGACCAGCCACACUGGGACUGAGACACGGCCCAGACUCCUACGGGAGGCAGCAGUGGGGAAUUUUGGACAAUGGGCGAAAGCCUGAUCCAGCCAUGCCGCGUGCAGGAUAAAGGCCUCGGUUGUAAC
rnacentral:rRNA from 1 species